CGCGCCCCGCCUUCCGCCGCAGGGGGAGCUGGGUGCCGUAGUCCGCUGACCGCGCCUGGCUGCCUGCUAACGCCCCAGCGGGACUACCGCUCCCGGCGUGCCCCGCGCGCGCAGGCGCGGGGAGCGGCGCUGCUCCCUGGUAAACACAGCAGCGCGGCGGCGGGCCCGGGGCGCACAAAGGGGUGGCGGGUCCGACACUCCCGGCGGGGCUAAGGCGGCGCCCAUGGCGGAGCCGGCUGGGGCCGCGGCGUCGCCGGACAUCGAUCCUGACUUUGAGCCUCAGAGCCGCCCGCGCUCCUGCACCUGGCCGUUGCCGCGGCCCGAGGCGGAGACGGGCGGCGCGGCCGGCGCGGCGGAGGAGGGCGCAGGCGGCGCGGCGGCGGGGCCCGGCCGGGCCGAGGGGGCGCGGGCGGGCGGCGCGGCGGCGCGGAAGGGCGGCUCCCGGCGCAAUGCCUGGGGCAGCCAGUCCUACGCCGAGCUCAUCAGCCAGGCUAUCGAGAGCGCCCCCGAGAAGCGGCUAACGCUGGCGCAGAUCUACGAGUGGAUGGUGCGCUCCGUCCCCUACUUCAAGGACAAGGGUGACAGCAACAGCUCCGCUGGCUGGAAGAACUCUAUUCGACAUAACCUGUCCCUGCACAGCAAGUUUAUUAAAGUCCAUAAUGAAGCCACAGGGAAGAGCUCUUGGUGGAUGCUCAAUCCUGAGGGUGGCAAAAGUGGAAAAGCACCAAGGAGAAGAGCUGCCUCCAUGGACAACAGCAGCAAACUUGCAAAAGUCAGAGGUAAAGCAUCUAGGAAGAAGCCUUCUCUCCAGUCUGCUCCAGAAUCCUCUGCUGACAGUCCUGGCUCCCAAUUUCCAAAGUGGCCUGGGAGCCCAUCCUCAAGAAGCAAUGAGGACUCUGAUGUGUGGAACACCUUCCGGCCUCGAACCAGUUCCAAUGCAAGCACCAUCAGUGCCAGGCUUUCUCCUAUCCUGACAGAGCAGGAUGACCUCCAUGAUGAAGAGCUGCUUCCUUCUCUGGUGUACUCCAGUGCAUCCAGCAACGUUCCACCAACUGUGACUGAGGAGCUCGAGCUCAUCGAUGGCUUAAAUUUGAUGUCUCCCAGCUCAUCUGUGCUAUCUACCCAGCAAUCUGCCUCGAGUGGUCAGAUCCAGAGAGAUUCCAGCUUUUCCUUGCAGAGCCCAAAUGCGGCUGGUCAGACUUUUGGCAACUCCCUUUUUAACCCUGUUGAUAUUUCACUGCAAAGCUCUGUCAGCCAUUUCUCUGCCCCUCAGACCUUGGAAGCUCUUCUGACACCCAGCUCUCCACCUCCAAGGGAUGUCAUGAUGACUCAGGUGGAUCCAGUUCUCCCACAGACUGGUAACAGGAUGAGCAGCCGAACUCUUCUGCUUCUGGGUGGACAAGCUGCCCAGAGUAAGAUGAGCUCAGGCAAUCCACGAGGAAAGCCUGCAGAGCUGCAGGCAGAACCAGUUGGUGCCAGUGUUUUGCCAUCAACGCUUCCCAUAGUGACAUCUCCUCAAAACACUGCCAGCAUCACCAGCUUGAAGGCUCCAGUUUCUGCAACAACUGCCCAGUCAGUCCAGCUGGGCAGUCCAGUGCUCCUUUCAUCUGCCAGCCCUGCUUCCCUGGGAUUGAACCAGGACAGGCUGCCCACUGACCUGGACAUUGACAUGUACAUGGAGAACCUUGAAUGUGAUAUGGAUUACAUAAUCAACAGUGAACUCAUGGAUGGAGGACUGGACUUCAAUUUUGAACCUAUUCUGCCUACUCCCAGCUAUCCCAGCACCUCACAGGCCUCCAACCAUACCUGGGUACCAAGUUAACUUCAGGAGCACAAAAAGAGCUUUGUUGGUGCUGUCAGCUUACCGGAGGAAUACUUACUGCUGACCUUUCUGUCUCAGUCAUACUCUGAAGCUUGGAGCUGAGCAAUUGCAUCCUCCACUUGACUCUCUGUUGAUCAAGUGUCCUUCAGGGUUCUGACUUCACUUCCCACCCCAGCAGAGAAAAGAAUGGAGCAUGUUGGAUUCAGUUUCCCUGCACAUCAUGCCUUGGGCAGAAGGGGCUGCCCAUCUGGGAAGAAGGGGCAACCUGGAUCUGGCUGCAACAGGAAGAGUUUAAAAAUAGUAAUCCUGUUAUGUGCCAUGGCUCUUCCUACAAACCCGACCCUGCCUUGGACCACCUGGAGAAACCCAUGUCCAAAGAGGAGCCCUGGUAAAAACCUCAGCCAGAAGACUCUGUGCCAGGCAAUAGUGUUUUCCUGUGUGAUGAGUUGGGUGUGCUGGAGGAAUCUCUCACUGGCUGUCCUCUCUCUGCCACGGCAGAAAGUCUCCCAGUGCCUCAGACUGGUGGAGGGCUGGCUCUGUUCUUGCUUGGCUUGCCUCACGGGGCAAAGUGGUUGGACUCUCUGAUUAAGCCACCAGACGUGCACUUGGUAUCCCACAGACUCGCAGAGGAAUUGGUGGGAGCCUGCUGGGAGAAGCCCUGUGGGAGAAGGGUGUGCUGUUUCAGGGGUUGGUUUCAGUGUGCCUAUCACUGGAGCAUCCAUCACUGUUCUGCAGGGAAGGGUGGUUGUCGUGGUAUAGAAGGCUUCCAAUUGUCCCCCUGGUUGGAACAGGAGGACACUGAGUUUUUCACUGUGCCAACUGAGCCCCAUUGAAUCAGAAGCAUGUUUUGAGAAGUCCCUAUGCUGUCCUCAGCACUUUCCUGAUACACCAGGCUGCUGUAAAAUAAGCACAGGUGCUAGUAGCUGCUUUCUGGGACUUAAAAACAUUGUUUUGGGUUUGUUUUUGAUCUGUCUUGCUACAGCAGCAAAAUGGAAAGCCUGGGUGUGGCCUUAACAGAGCCCUGGUUGCUUUUCAGAAGGGCAUUUUCUAUAGAUGAAAUAUUUUUUUACUAAUCUGGGAACUUUCUACAGUGAACAUGAAGCCAAUGUAAUGUGUGUCCCUAUUAUGCAUCUCUCCAUCUGAGAAGGUAACAGUGACAGACUCUUUUUCAGAGCUGUAUUAGGAACAAACACAUUUGAUGUCUGAUGAUGUAUAUGAUUGAGGGGAAGGAAUUGGCAGGUCCCCGUGGUUUCAAACCACUGUGGGGAAGAGUUGUACAUUAUUGUAAUCUAUAUGUAAAAGUAGGUGCAAAUUACAUAGAAGCUUUUCUAAAUCUUUUUAAAUAUAUAUUAUAUAUUUUAAUUGAAGAACGAGAUUAUUGGAUAAAAAGAAACAAAACACAUUUGCUGCAUCUGUCCCCUUCAUACCAGAUAACACUACAGUAUGGGAUGGGGCAGGCCUAAGGCAUUUUGGGCCAAGAAGCUGAAAAUGCUGGGAAAGUGGAAAGGACACGGCCCUGUAACUGAGGAAUGGCUGCUCUCCCCAGAAGAGGCAGAGGGAAGGUGCCUGGCAGGGCAGUCAGCCACAGCUGCUCAGGCUGGGCAUUCCUGCCAAGCCAAGAGCACAAUGGAGGGAAUGCUAAUCAUUAACAGUGCUCCUUCUCAGCUAAUCCCUGAGUGACUGGCCUGCAGCUGAUCCACAGGACAGAUUCCCUAGUCUGCUGAGGAGAUGGUGUGGACUGGAUGGUGCUAGAUCUGCUGACACUCUGCAUAGCCCUUAUGGAGGGCAUGAUCAGUUGUAUUUGGUAGCUCACUUUGGUUUCUGAGGGUUUUUGUUUUCUUACUGAAGCUUCUGCUGCUGCUGGGGAACUUGAAGCCUGUAGGCUCACCCUCAGGGGUCCACCUGGGAUCCUGUUCUGUCUCUGUAUUCUUGCAGAGCAGAAAUUAGGGGUCAAAAGACAAAUUCAGAGCAUUAGUGGCAUCUUGCUGUCACUGUUUUGGUGUUUGCAGUGGCAGGAUCGGUGGGAGGCAUGGUGCUUUCAUGGUCUUCCGGUAGCUUUGGUCUGGCAGAAAGACUCUCCAGUCCUUUUUGAAGGUGGCUUCAGUUCAGAAAGUUUCUAUUAUGCAGCUACACUGUUUCACCAGCUCGUCUGCUCUGUUUUCAUUUUCAUUUGAGUGGAGAUUGGAACAGGAAUGAUUGCCUUGUUACCUCCAACAAGGAGUCUACAAAAGUCUUAUCUACAGCAUGCUAUGCCAUCAAAGCCUUGAAUAGUUCAAUAACCUUUGUUUUGGAGGCUGCCUUCAUGGCAGACCUCCCAGUGAUGUUUCAAAUUUACCCACAAUCUACAUGUCUGGCCACGCCUCAUUGUAACAAAUAAACAAAAAAGCAGCUCCUAAACUGGGAUCCCAGGUUUGCACAUUUGAGGCACGGAUGAACAUUCUCAUUGGAGUUACUUCAUUACACAAGUGGAUAGAUACCCUUCCACAACACCUGAUGGCAUGUGCCACGCAUAAGAAUCAGCCAUUCUGAGCUGUAGUGAACAGACUGGAGAGAUUUAUGUUAUUUGGCACAUAAUAUGCUACCUUGUUAGCUUGAGUCCUGAAGGGAACUUGAUCCAAUGAUGUGCAGAGCAAGUUGAAUGGCUGCCUGUGAUUCACAGCCAUGUAGCAAAGGACGAGACACCAGUAUGUGUGGUCAUGUUAAAUGUGAGUCUCUGGCUCAUUUCCCAUGAAAAUGGGACCCAAAGCAAUAGCAAAGACAGUAUUAGUACCCAGUGGUUCAGAGCAGAAGUGCACGGUGAGCUGUGUUGGGCUGGGUUAUCUGUGGGAAAGGGGCGCUGUGUGCAGGCUGUUACAAAGCGUCCCUUGAGUGGCGGCCCUGGGAGCUGGCCUGAUCUCUGCCUGCAGGCACAUCUGGCACAACCUCAGCUGCUUCGUGUCCUUGGCCAGAUCCUGCUGAAGGAGGUGCAACACCAGGGCUCAUCGUGGUUAGUGCUCUAGUGUGAGUUCAGAGAGGACCCUGUCCUUUGAGUAAGGGAUAGAGCACAUAACCUAUUUUUUCCCACAUUCCCCUGGCCAUACUUCUGGAGAUAGCACUGGAGAUGGGGGCACCUCUGGAGUAACAGGCUCCUAGCAGUGACAUUUCUGCCUUGCUGCAGUCUGUACAGGUGCUUUGUGUCUCUUCAGCACAGCAGGAGCUGUCAGUGGCUGAAGAAGCUUGAGAGUGCACUAGUGCUGAGAAUGGUGUUCAGAAGACCCGUGGAGUGCUCAAUAAACCAUGAAUGUAACGUUGCAGGCUCAAGCAAGCAACUUAUCUUCUUUUUUUUUGGGUUUAGCAGGAUAGCUUGUAUUGUGGGCACAGAGGGCAGUGAUGUAGAGAAUUUGGGAGAUCUACAGACACUUCAUUUUCAUAAACCUUGAGCUUUUUUAGCCUGAGAUACUUCCUCAUAGGACACAGGAUACUCUGCAGUUCCUAAACUGCUGCUUGCAGAAAGGCUCUACCUGGCAAGGGGUUGCUCAGUACUUGUCCAGUUUUUUGUAUUCUUGCCCAAAGCGUUUGCUACUUGCUGCUACUGGAGCCCAGAUAAUGUCUUGGUGGCUCUUCAUGCUGCAUUAGCACCACAGGCCCCAUACUUUGGGCUAGUUUUUGCUCUAGUGAAGGAUUGGGGAUUUUGAGACCAGCUGUGAGUGGGGUGAGACGGGAAGGGGCCAGUGACAUGGGGAGUGGUGCUCCUGGAUAAGUGCCUGAGGGGAGUGGGCAAGGGCCUCUUGGCAUGAAGCAUUACUUUAUGCUGUGUUCCUUGUCCUCACUGAGCUCAGGCAACAAGUUUCUCCAUCUUCAGAGGAUCAAAUGCCAUCUUACACAGCAUUGAAGCCACCAUGCAGCUCAGGGCCACAGAGGAUUCAGGUAACUAGGCCCAUAGAGCUUAGUAUGAGGCAGACUUGUUGCUUUUAUUUACUCUUGGGUUUAGCAAAUUGCUUGAACUUUCUUUAUAAUUUAAGCAUAUUUUACUUCAAAGCAUGUACUUCCAGCUUCAUAUGAGAGCUUGGAAAAUUGGAAUCUUCUGGGAGCCCUUAAUUUUCCUUGCUGGUGUGUCUAAAAACAUGUCAUCGCUAUCCUGUGCUGCUUUAAAAACAGCAGUCAGAUCAUCCUGAUGAGAGGAAUGAGGCAUUCCAGAGCCUGGAUGUAUUCAUAAACAAGAGUCAUAAUAGAAGCAAGUAGCACUAAUCAGCUUUUCCAAAAGAAAUGCCUAGAAAGCUUUUAUGUAGAUAAGAAUUUAUUAAUUUUCUUACUUAGUUGCUUAUUUAUAGCCACGUUCAAAUGCUUCAGGGCUAGCCUUGCUCCAGGAUUGAGUAACCUGUGUCUGGUGCCAUGGGUUGGAGUGCCUUGGGAGUGGUGUCCUGGACUGUCAACAAAAUGUGAAAGGGACAUGAGCAUGAACAGAGAAUAGCUUAGGGCUUGCCUCAGUUGCAUGUCUAAUGAAAAAGAUGUUCUGAUUAAUGUGGGGAAAAGCAAGCAGGGGUGACUUCUGAAGCCUGAAAGAUCUGUCCAUGUGAAGGUUUGGAGCAUGAGCUAACCCAUCACCACACUUACUUGUCCUUCAGGAAAGGGAUCCCCUCUCUUCCACUGGCGUGUGUCUCUCGCUGCACCCUGACAUGUCUGUAGCUGAUGGAAAGCCGUAUCUGAUGGAAUCAAAAUCACUCCUAAUACUGUGGUGUGAAGCAGGGAGCAAAGGCAGCAGAAGCUGAAGGUGUAAGAGCUGACAGUUACUUUUAUGGUUCUUUGGCUGAGGCAGUGUUAUGGUGUGUGGGAGAAGGGGAUGUUCUGGGACACAAAAAGAGCCCUCGUUGCUUUUUCAGAAGGGCAGUGGUGUGGGACUGGUGGUGUGGGGCUCCCCAGGGUGUCUUGAGAGGUUUGGCUAUGUAGAAGACAGGUUAUUGUCCUGAAAGCAGCUGCCUUCAUAUGGCACUGGGGUGGUUCUGUGAAAUGGUGCUUCCAGCACAGUGGAGUCUUCACCUGGUGCAGUCCCAGGAAAGGUUUCUGCAUUGCUAGCACAGAUGUCUGCUGCACCACUACCUGACAUCGUUUCCACCACAUCCCCUGUGCACUCUUCCACCUAUUUCUCACAAUAAUUUUUUUUUUUAAAUAAACCUCUGCUUUUGUUUGCUCUCUGUAGCAGUGUAACUUCUGAACCAUUACAGGCUUUGUUACCAUCUGUGCUAGCAAGACUGUAGAGUGUGCUAGACUAGGGGGGAAUGUUUGAAAAAUAAAAACCUGUAAUACUCUG